CGCUCAUCCAGAGGGGCAGAGGGAACGGCCCGUUGAAGCCCCGGCAACCCUCCCGCCGACCGCGAGGUCAUGGUGGGGAAGGUGCCAAUUCCGUCUCGUGGCGACGUCCGCCGCGAGGAAGAUGAGGA
rnacentral:ncRNA from 2 species